GGGUGAUUAGCUCAGCUGGGAGAGCACCUAGGGGGUCGGCGGUUCGAUCCCGUCAUCACCCACCA
rnacentral:tRNA from 1 species